GUUUCUAUAGUUGAAGUACAACGAUGAUUUUUCAUGUCUUUGGUCUUGGAAAGUGCCAAGUAGGAACU
rnacentral:tRNA from 2 species